AGGUGUGUUGAUUACUUUAUUGUGGAAAGAAGAGAAGCGACACACAAAAUGAGGUCUUCUCGUUUAAUAGUAUAGAUAUACAGACGUCAUCAAAAUUGGGUAUUUUCAGAGGGCCGUAGCAGAAAUAGAAGCGCACCACCAUAUGAUUUUUUCUUCACCAAUUAUUUUUUUACAUAAAUCCAAAAAUCAGGUUUAGAACAAAAGCUUAAUUUUAGAAAUUUUUGGCUCGUCAGAGGUGUGCAUCCGUAAUGCAACAUUUUGUAUUAAGAUUGACACAUUUGUCCCAAUAGCAUGCUAAGCUGUUAAUUGACCAAAGUAUACACAAGAUAAAAAUACAUUAUAAAAAAAAAUAAAUAAAUGUAAAACCAACGGGACAGAGCAAUGUAGAUAUCUAAACAUGCAAUAGACUAUACAGAUGUCUCCACAAGAUAGGCAGUUGCUGACCAUAUUAUAUAUAAAAAACGUAGUUUGUUUCACUGUCGAAUACACGACGACAGUCACUAUCUCAUUUGUAUUUUUGAAAGAAGUCAUUCUAUAUUUCAUGAUUUUACAAAAUAAAAAUAAAAGUACAUAUAUGUGAAUUAAAAAUAUCUUUGUUAGACGAACAUGAUAACGCAAUUUAGAAUACUAAACGAAAAAGUGUACAAAAAAUCCCAAUAAAUACAAUUUGAUAGUGUAUAGUAAUAAUAUAAUAACACCAACUAACAGUACAUCAAUAUUGGUAUUAAUCUGGGUAAUAGUUUUGACCAUGUUCACAGAAUAUAGACGCAACCAUUAGCUUGCUGAUUAUACAUUCGGAAUCUACAUUAACAGUGCAUCAGAUUUGGUAUCAAUCCAAUGUUUAGAAAGAUGCAUCGACCUAUAAUCGAAUAGUACCCUUUGUGAUUACUCUUUGUGAUUAGCAACGCACCAUU
rnacentral:lncRNA from 1 species